rnacentral:lncRNA from 1 species
UGUGUCAUCCUGUCAUAUUAUCACAAUCACCAAGUCUCUGAGAAACCAUAUACUAUUGAGGGCAAAGAAAAUAUUGUCAAAAAUUGAUGGCCAAAUGGUUGGCUUAUUCCAGCUUUUAGCUUGCCUAAGUAUUCAGGGUAGUCUGGUACAGGGGCUUCAUCUCAGGUUGUCAGAUCAUGGUGCUAAUUCAUAAGCAGCUGGGCUUCUGUGGUGACAGCCAUAGAACUAAAGCAAAGAUGACACCAUUGUUCUUAGCCAGAAA